UAACAUUGUAGACAGGCACAAAG
rnacentral:miRNA from 1 species